rnacentral:rRNA from 1 species
GACGAACGCUGGCUGCGUGCUUAACACAUGCAAGUCGAACGCUGAAGCCGGGUGCUUGCACCCGGUGGAUGAGUGGCGAACGGGUGAGUAACACGUGAGUAACCUGCCCCUGAUUUCGGGGUAAGCCCGGGAAACUGGGUCUAAUACCGGAUAUGACCAACCCUUGCAUGAGGGUUGGUGGAAAGUUUUUUCGAUCAGGGAUGGGCUCGCGGCCUAUCAGCUUGUUGGUGGGGUAAUGGCCUACCAAGGCGACGACGGGUAGCCGGCCUGAGAGGGCGACCGGCCACACUGGGACUGAGACACGGCCCAGACUCCUACGGGAGGCAGCAGUGGGGAAUAUUGCACAAUGGGGGAAACCCUGAUGCAGCGACGCAGCGUGCGGGAUGACGGCCUUCGGGUUGUAAACCGCUUUCAGCAGGGAAGAAGCGCAAGUGACGGUACCUGCAGAAGAAGUACCGGCUAACUACGUGCCAGCAGCCGCAGUAA